AUGAACCUGAGAGUUUGAUCCUGGCUCAGAGCGAACGCUGGCGGAAUGCUUAACACAUGCAAGUCGCACGGGGGCUUCGGCUCUAGUGGCGGACGGGUGAGUAACGCGUAGGAACGUGUCCUGGGAUGGGGGAUAACGCUGGGAAACUGGCGCUAAUACCGCAUGUCUGCUGAGGCAGAAAGCCUUUGGGUGUCUUGGGAGCGGCCUGCGUCCGAUUAGCUAGUUGGUGGGGUAAAGGCUUACCAAGGCGACGAUCGGUAGCUGGUCUGAGAGGACGAUCAGCCACACUGGGACUGAGACACGGCCCAGACUCCUACGGGAGGCAGCAGUGGGGAAUAUUGG
rnacentral:rRNA from 1 species